rnacentral:lncRNA from 1 species
UUUUUAUUUGUGUCCCCUUAUGAGAACUUUACAGUCUAGAGAAGCUGUACCUUAUCAUCAUGGUGGUUCUGCUGUGUGUGGAGAUGAUCCUGUGGGUCCCCCCUUUAAGGAGCCAAUAAACACCUUGGUUCUCUGCCUUUUCACAGUAGGAGCUGGGCCCACACCUUUAUAUAUAUACUUUUUUUUUUUUUUUAAGAUUUAUUUGUUAUAUGUAAGUACACUGUAGCUAUCUUCAGACACUCCAGAAGAGGGCAUCAGAUCUCAUUACAGAUGGUUGUGAGCCACCAUGUGGUUGCUGGGAUUUGAACUCAGGACCUUCUGAAGAGCAGUCGGCGCUCUUAACCACUGAGCCAUCUCGCCAGCCCAUAUAUACUUUUUUUAAAAAGAAAAAGAAAGAAAUGGAAAGAAAAUACAAACAUUAUUCUGAUAGUGAAAUAUUGAACCAGUACAAAAUAAAUAAAAUAUGGGAAGCUGGGUGUAGUAGUAUAUGCCUUUAAUCCCAGCAUUCAGAAGACAGAGACUUGUGGAUAUCUCUAAGUUUGUGGCCAGCCUGGUCAACAUAGUGAGUUCCAGGACAUCCAGAGCUACAUAAUGAGUUUCUUUAAAAAGUAAAAAAAUAACCUCAAAUAGUUAUUCUAAUAGGAUGGAUAGUGAUAAAACCACGUUUACAUAAAGCAGUAUACCCACAUGUAAAAAUCUACAUGAUAAUGAACAAAUAGUGUUCUUAGCCUGCUUUGUUUGGGGGAAGAAGUGUAUUUCCAUAGCCACAGGUGUAAGCAAGCAGAGCUUUGCCCAUGCCUGUGGAGCCUGUCUCUGAAGAGUCCUUUUGUACUGUGUUCCUGCACUGAGCCCUCUGCAAGGCCGAUUCGCUGAUUAGCAACGACACAGAAGUUGAAAGGCUGCAUGUCCAGAACCAAGUUAUAUUGGGGUGUCCUUAGACACCUUGCAAACUGUCUGCUCCCCACUUCUGUAUCUGACCUAGCAUCUUUGUGACCGUUGGGUAAACACUUGGGAAUAUAGAAGCAGCUGCCUAGUUCCCACCAACCAAAGGCUAGGGAUUCUUUCAGAUAGCAUCUGAGGCGUCCAGCUGAGAUGCCUUCCUUCCCUGUGAUCCACCUACCUGAUGUUCCCACUGUGUGUGUGAGAAGUGCCCAUGUGUGACUGUGUGUGUGAGAAGUGCCCAUGUGUGACUGUGUGUGUGAGAAGUGCCCAUGUGUGACUGUGUGUGUGAGAAGUGCCCAUGUGUGACUGUGUGUGUGAGAAGUGCCCAUGUGUGACUGUGUGUGUGAGAAGUGCCCAUGUGUGACUGUGUGUGUGUGAGAAGUGCCCAUGUGUGACUGUGUGUGAGAAGAGCCCAUGUAUGAUUGUGUGUGUGUGUGAGAAGAGCCCCUGAGUGACUAUGUGUGUGAGAAGUGCCCACGUGUGAGAAGAACCCAUGUAUGACUGUUGUGAGAGAAGUGCCCGUGUACGAUUUAAGUAGGGCUUCUGCUAUAAAACUUCAUGGAACUGUUUCCACAUUGGGACAUGGAACUGGGGUGACCUGAAUGUGUGUCCUGGGACACCAGCACAUAUUGCAUCCCAGGAUAAACUACCUCACAUCUCUUUGAAGUGAGAACUGUUAUUUUGUUGACAAUACCCCUUGAGGGUUUUUUUUUUAUGAUAUAUACACAGUACAACCUAUGAAAAAUGUUUUCAAAUCUGAGACAUUAAAAAGACACAUAG